CCAGACUCCUACGGGAGGCAGCAGUGGGGAAUAUUGCACAAUGGGGGAAACCCUGAUGCAGCGACGCCGCGUGAGCGAUGAAGUAUUUCGGUAUGUAAAGCUCUAUCAGCAGGGAAGAAAAUGACGGUACCUGACUAAGAAGCCCCGGCUAACAACGUGCCAGCAGCCGCGGUAAUACGUAGGGGGCAAGCGUUAUCCGGAUUUACUGGGUGUAAAGGGAGCGUAGACGGUCCUGCAAGCCAGAUGUGAAAGUCCGGGGCUGAACCGCGGGACUGCAUUUGGAACGGUGAGGCUAGAGUGGUGGAGAGGCGGGGGGAAUUCCUAGGGGAGCGGGGAAAUGCG
rnacentral:rRNA from 1 species